CUCUGAGGUUGGCCACGUAUCAGGACAUCCUCCCACACCUGUCCAAAGGCAGAGUUUUCAUUUCCCUUCUUUCUUUAUCUCUUUUCUUCUUCUACUUUUCUCUAAACUAAGGAAAAGCUUGAGAAGUUGAAGUUGGCAGUUUGGAGGACUUGUGGACUGAGGAAGAAACUUGAUCCAAGCAGGGAAUUGUUGCUGUUGGAGUUGUUGAAUAACCUGGAACAGCAUCUAAUCAAGCCUAGGUUUUUUUGGACUGUUGGAGCUGAAAUUUCUUGUUGUUGGAGCAGCAAAGAAGGCUUCCAAAGCUAAAGUUGAUUAGAAGAAGUAUCUAAUUAAGAAGAAUUGGUGGAAUUGCUGAAGUUGAAGUCCAAGCUGUUGGAGCAAGGAGUUUCUACUGAUUGGACUUCCUGAACAACUGGAACAGCAUCUAAUUAAGCUGGUAGCUUGAUGAAUUGGUGUUGUUGGUGCUGCCGAAAUUCAGGGGUGGACCAUUUGAAGCAGUGAGCAACCUGAUAGAACCUUGGAUUAAGCUGGAAUUAGCAAACUUGAGAGCACUAGGCUGAGUGGAGUUGGCAUAUUGGGGCUGCCCUGGUUUGAGACCAAUUGGAAUGAAGUAAUUAAUCAAGCAGGAAUUAGAAAAGAAAGUGAUGAAAUUCCUGAUAUAAAGGAAAUUCCUGCAAAGUGAGAAGUGCUGAAAUUACAGCUUUGGUGGAGCUUCUGUUGGUGUUCCGAGCUGAAAAGAAGCUUUAGAAAGCUGAGAGCAACUUAGAAAAGCUUCUAAUUCAGGUCGACGACGCGCUAAUUACGGUAGAGGCCGUUCUAGUUCUAUUUAUACUGAGUCGCGAGAGUUAGUUGUCGACACAUUCCGAGACGUGAGAUCUUAGUUGUUGACACCACUACAGGUUCCAGUAUGAGUGCUGUUGCCGAGGAUCGUGGCAAGGGCCCUGCAGCUUAGUUAGCCGACACCAGAGUUUAGUGGUUACCAUUUUGAUGUAUAUACAACAUGUAAAUAACUAAAUGUUUCAGUUAUGUAAAGUUUUGAAUUACAGUGAAUUUCAUUGUUCAGUUACUUUA